AUUGACUAAUCCUACAACCUGUGGAACUGCUCUCUUUACAUUUUUCCUCGGCCUUUUUCAGAGACCAUAAAUGAAUAAGACAGAGAAACUGACAGGAGGAAAGCAAGCUGCCAGAGCUUAGAGCUGUUCUUUUGUCUGUACUGUUCAGGAACUGAAUCUUAUUCAAAUUCAUAGUAAUUUUUUUUCAAGCCAAGCCAACUCACAUUGGGAAUUGGAACUCUGCAUAAUGCUAGACGAGCUAACACAAUGGAGUCUCACCAUGUACCCAAGCUGGUCUUAAACUCCUGGCCUCAAGUGAUCCUCCUGCCUUGGCCUCCCAAAGCACUGGGAUUACAGAUGUGAGCCACCAUGCCCAGCCUGUCAACUUCUUAAAAUGUUCCUUUUUCCCCAAUUGUCUCUAACUAUAUGUUCUGGUCAACGUGACUACUCUAUCUUCAAAAGACUUCAUAUGAAACUUUGUUGUUUUUUCUUUCUCUAUAUAUUCCUAAUAGCUAGAACAGUGCCUGAUACAUAGUAGGUACUGAAUUAGCACUCUUUACAAAAAAUAAAGAAAAUACUAUAUACAGCCCAGCGACUCCGGCAUUUGUACUUCUAUCCUAGUCCUCUCUCUGAUUUCCAGGUCUGUAUAUUCCACUGACUACUUGGUUGUCCCCAACUGAUUACUUC
rnacentral:lncRNA from 1 species